rnacentral:misc_RNA from 1 species
AGCGCCGUCAGGGCGUGCCCUAUCCGCUUGAAGAAGCCGUAACGGUACUCGAUCCGGACACGAUGCAGCCCGUGCCACGCGACGGCGAAACCAUCGGCGAGGGCAUGNUCCGCGGCAACAUCGUUAUGAAGGGUUACCUUAAGAACGAGAAAGCCACCAAGGAAGCUUUCGAGGGCGGCUGGUUUCACACCGGCGAUCUCGGCGUGCUCGACAAGGACGGCUACGUCA